rnacentral:rRNA from 1 species
GACGAACGCUGGCGGCGUGCUUAACACAUGCAAGUCGAACGGAAAGGCCCUGCUUGCAGGGUACUCGAGUGGCGAACGGGUGAGUAACACGUGGGUGAUCUGCCCUGCACUUCGGGAUAAGCCUGGGAAACUGGGUCUAAUACCGGAUAGGAGCCAUUUUUAGUGUGAUGGUUGGAAAGUUUUUUCGGUGUAGGAUGAGCUCGCGGCCUAUCAGCUUGUUGGUGGGGUAAUGGCCUACCAAGGCGGCGACGGGUAGCCGGCCUGAGGGGGUGGACGGCCACAUUUGGGCUGAGAUACGGCCCAGGCUCCUACGGGAGGCAGCAGUGGGGAAUAUUGCACAAUGGGCGCAAGCCUGAUGCAGCGACGCCGCGUGGGGGAUGACGGCCUUCGGGUUGUAAACUCCUUUCGCUAGGGACGAAGCUUUUUGUGACGGUACCUAGAUAAGAAGCACCGGCUAACUACGUG